AUGAUAUAGCCCAGUGGUUAGGGUGUAGGGUUGCAAUGCAGAUGACCAGGGUUUAAGUCCCUGGUCUGUCAUG